CUCAGCCGUCCAUUCCAUAAUUUUUUUAUAUAAAUUAUAGGGUUGAGGACUCAACUAUUAUAAUUUAACAGCCUAUAGGGUUUCACCUUUCUUCAAUUCCUUAUCUGUCAAGAUCCAAUGGAAACCUUCACGCCGAUGGUUGUUUUUAUCAGGUAUGGCGAUAGAUCGAUGAGCGAAUUAUAGAUCCAGUGUUGAAUAUUUUUGCACCGGCUUUUGAUUUCGGGAAGCAGCUACGAGGCAUGGUUAAAGAUCGAGGUUUUCCAGAAUAGCAGAACUCAGAUCCUGUAAUUAUGUAUUUGAUUGUGAGAUUUACGGGAGGGAAAUCUAAUGGAUGUAUGUAGGUUGUUUCAGGAUUAUACAUCUCGAUACGUUAAACGUUUUGAGGAUUGAAUCCUGAUUGAUCUUGUCAUCCGACCUUUGCCAUGUCAGGUGCGCUUGCAUGGCAGGUCAAAAAUAUAAUAAAGAAAGUUUUAUUGGUUUUGGGAGAAGAUCGCACGGGGUUUUUGCCCGGGGUCUUCUCUCGUGUGUGGUGUUUUGCUUUGCGCCUUUUUCUUUUGUCUAUUGUUUUGAUAUCGAAUAGCGACUCUAGCCGGGAUGGAUUCAUAUGAGGAGGAUUUCACGCUCCAUAACGAAGUGCACGUCAAGGUAUUGCCCUAAUUUCAGUUCAAUAAUGUCCAUCCAAACACAUUUGUUAUUUCAAUUAAUGAAUUACAGCGAGGUAUACUUAAAAUUGGACAGGAAAUGCUUAACGGUUGUUAAUAUCACUUGUACAGUAUGAUUCUUCAUCCAAAAUCAACAAAUUCAAGGUCGAUUAUAAGUUUUUACAAAAUAAUUUUUAAAAAUUUGUAUGGCAAAGUUUCUCUCGGAUAACUAACUUUAUCAUUACUAUGUUUAUAUCACACUUACAGACUUAUUCAUUGCCAAUCCUGUACAUAUCUUACUUCUACAUUAGGGUUGGUUUGGUUGGUUUGCUGAAUUCAUUAUCGGAUGCAUAUUUUAUCUACACACUUGUUAAUUCUACAUAAGUGUUAAUAUAUACUGUUGUAAAUCAUUAUCUGAUGUAUAUUCUAUCUACCAUUGAACCAACUUACAAACCUGUUUCACAAUAUCUUUGUAAAUACACUGACCCACUGAAUCAUCACCCAUUUCCAACUUUGAAGAAGGCAGUUAAAGCUUCAUAUGAACUUGUGUGAAUUUUUAGCAUCAACAAUACUUGAAUUCCUUGAAGCACUCAGCAUAUGUAUCAAGAUUUUAUCAUGUGCAUACUCAUUAAUCUGCAGUAAGGAUGAGAAAUGUAAACUAUCUAAAUGGCCAAUUCAACUAUUUUGAACGACCAUCAACGGUGUUUGUGCACGACUAAGGUGAAAGGUUGAUUCAUGCUUUGGUUUGAGCUUUGGCGUCUUCUUAUUUUUGUUAACGUAAGUGGCUCUCUAGUUACAUUUCAUUAUCUUUGUCUCAAGAAAGAUCUAUAGCCCAAAUCGGUAGAGUGCUCUGAAUAUUUUGUAUAUAUAACUCAGAGAGAUGGUGGUUCGAAUCCACCUAGAUUUGGGAUACCUUUUGUUUGUUUUCCAUCAAACGUUCUGUCUAUAUUUAAAAAUUUAAUUUCAUAUUCGAGGUAUGGUUCUGUUUAAAAAUUUAAAAAACAAGUGUUUAUGCUUAAUAAUAGUAUUGAUGCUGAAUAAUAUUAUAGAUACAAUUUAAAUUUGAGGCAAGUGUUUUUUUUUUUUUAGAACUGAACUAUUUUUUUAUAAAAUCUUACAAUGAAUUUGUAGUGUUCUUUCUUAGUAAUUAAAUUCAAAUUUUUGGUAAAAUAAAUUGUUUAUAUUAUUUCUUUUACUUUUAACUAUAUUAAGAUAAAAGAACUCAAACAUACCCUCUGCAGCAUUUUUGGUGCUGCCAUCUCUCAUGUGCCAUAUCUGGCCAUUAGAUUUAAAUCUAAUGGUUUUAUUUUCUUUCACUUUUUUCUUUCC